rnacentral:lncRNA from 1 species
GACCAAACAGCCUAUUCAUUUCUACCAGUGAUUUUUCCUUAAAAUUUUGUGUGAAGGUAUUUCAUGAUUUGAGGAACAAAAUAUGAUGAAAAAAAUUGGGGGUCACCGACUUAGUUUUGUCGCUAUAGCAACCUCAGUUUCGUGUUUUCACGAAUAUUAACAUAAUAUUUGCUUGUUAUAUAAACUCUCAAAAAAAUACUUUAUAUCAAACUACAAGCAUAAUUCUUGUUUCACGUUAAACAGUAGAUUUGUAUCUAUAAAAUACAGGUUCAAGAGUUUAAGAUCUCAAUUGUUUUAAUCUUUAAAAAUAUGAUUUAUUUCAUUCCCGCCAAAAAUAAAACGUAAAAAUGAAAAACGUUUCCAGUAUUAAAAAAUUUCUACCAGUGAUUUCUUCAUAAUAAUUUCAGAAAGGAAAGUGCCAUGUGCACUCUUCAAAAUAAAGCAAAAAAAAUUGUAUGUCACCGACCUUUCAAAAAAGUUAUGAGUAAUUUUCAUGUUUUUUUCUCGUUCGUUUUGUAGAAAAGAGUUGUCUUUCUUCAGAACAUUGCAUCUGACGUCAUAGUACAAAACUUUCCUUGCUGGCGCACUAUUUGAAAAAAAAUCGCAAAUUGAACGUUUGAAACCUUAUUGUUUAUUAUCCGGGAAUACAAGAGAUUAAAUGCAUGUGUCAGUAUUAGAUCUUAUGAUGUUGUUGCCGCACAAUAUUAACCUUCAGAAACAUGCACCAUCCGUCGGAAUGGAAAAUUGUUUGAAAUAACCUUUCAUGCUGCUUUUGUUAGGAAAGUCUGUUUUUGUCCUCUGCCCCUCAUUAACAAAAUUAUUGAAAAUAAAAAAAGAAAUUAACGAUGGCACUGGCUAACUACAGAGUACUUGACUAUAUCAGACUAGAUGUGUGUUGGGUUUUUUUUUUCGCGUCAAUUUCAGAAGUUUGCCGUAAUGAACUCAUUUGCUACUGUUGACAGACGGACAUACAAAAGCAUGGACGGACAUCUUUAUACCAUUAUAUUUUCCUGACUAAGAUGAACGUAUAGAAAUUAUUCCAUCUAGUUUUUGAAUUCAUUAUUUCUGAAUAUUUAUCUUUUGUCCCUCUUUUUUAGAUAUAAGGAAAUUAAAAUUAUAGGUAUAAUAUAUGAAUUAAAGUUUUUGAUUCUAAAACGUUAUACAUCUAUCAUUACAUACAAUCCCUGUUAUUACUACCUCACGUGUUUUGAAUAAACGAGACAGUAAAUAUAAAAUACAAAAAGUUUUUAAUUCAAAAAUUAAUUUAGAAAUAAUUUUUCUGUUGAAAACUACAAAGUAAGAUUUCUCCAACAGGAUAAAAUAUUAUAAAUCUAAAUUGCUAAUUUUGGAAAUUAAAACAAAGACAAGGUUGUUGCCGACAUUGAAAAUCGAAAUUUGUUUCAAUCUUUCCGGUCAUAGUCGUAGCUAAAUGAAUGGGAGAGAUUUUAUGUUGGAUAUUAUUCUUG